CCUACGGGAGGCAGCAGUGAGGAAUAUUGGUCAAUGGACGAGAGUCUGAACCAGCCAAGUAGCGUGAAGGAUGACUGCCCUACGGGUUGUAAACUUCUUUUAUAUGGGAAUAAAGUGUUCCACGUGUGGCAUUUUGUAUGUACUAUAUGAAUAAGGAUCGGCUAACUCCGUGCCAGCAGCCGCGGUAAUACGGAGGAUCCGAGCGUUAUCCGGAUUUAUUGGGUUUAAAGGGAGCGUAGGUGGAUUGUUAAGUCAGUUGUGAAAGUUUGCGGCUCAACCGUAAAAUUGCAGUUGAAACUGGCAGUCUUGAGUACAGUAGAGGUAGGCGGAAUUCGUGGUGUAGCGGUGAAAUGCUUAGAUAUCACGAAGAACUCCGAUUGCGAAGGCAGCUCACUGGACUGCAACUGACACUGAGGCUCGAAAGUGUGGGUAUCAAACAGGAUUAGAUACCCCUGUAGUC
rnacentral:rRNA from 1 species